rnacentral:lncRNA from 1 species
UCUCAACAUGAUCACAAUGCCAUCUUACACAUCCCAUAAGGUGGGCUUUUAUUGGCUAAGAUGGAGUUCUAAUUUGAAUAGGAGAUAGAGUCCAAAUAAGUUAGGGCUCUAGCAAUUUUGGAUGCCGCACAAUCCAACCAAAAUUUUAUCCAUAAUUUACAUGGUAACAAAGGGGAUUACUCUUCAUUCUUACAUGCCA